rnacentral:rRNA from 1 species
AAUAGUACCCUGGUAGUCCAUGCCGUAAACGUUGGGAACUAGGUGUGGGUCUCAUUCCACGAGAUCCGUGCCGCAGCUAACGCAUUAAGUUCCCCGCCUGGGGAGUACGGCCGCAAGGCUAAAACUCAAAGGAAUUGACGGGGGCCCGCACAAGCGGCGGAGCAUGCGGAUUAAUUCGAUGCAACGCGAAGAACCUUACCAAGGCUUGACAUACACCGGAAACAUCCAGAGAUGGGUGCCCCGCAAGGUCGGUGUACAGGUGGUGCAUGGUUGUCGUCAGCUCGUGUCGUGAGAUGUUGGGUUAAGUCCCGCAACGAGCGCAACCCUCGUUCUAUGUUGCCAGCACGUGAUGGUGGGGACUCAUAGGAGACUGCCGGGGUCAACUCGGAGGAAGGUGGGGAUGACGUCAAAUCAUCAUGCCCCUUAUGUCUUGGGCUUCACGCAUGCUACAAUGGCCGGUACAAAGGGCGCGAAACCGUGAGGUGGAGCGAAUCCCAAAAAACCGGUCUCAGUUCGGAUUGGGGUCUGCAACUGACCCC